GACGGAGGGUGCUAGCGUUGUUCGGAAUCACUGGGCGUAAAGGGCGCGUAGGCGGCCUCAGGUGUCGGAUGUGAAAGCCCGGGGCUCAACCCCGGAGGUGCAUCCGAAACUUUGGGGCUGGAGGUCGGAAGAGGAGGGUGGAAUACCCAGUGUAGAGGUGAAAUUCGUAGAUAUUGGGUGGAACACCGGUGGCGAAAGCGGCUCUCUGGUCCGGACCUGACGCUGAGGCGCGAAAGCGUGGGGAGCAAACAGG
rnacentral:rRNA from 1 species